GACCGCGUAGCUCAGUUGGCAGAGCAUUGGGCUAGUAUUCCAAAGGUCGUAGGUUCGAUUCCCGCCGUAGCCA
rnacentral:tRNA from 1 species